rnacentral:misc_RNA from 1 species
AAGUCGUAACAAGGUUUCCGUAGGUGAACCUGCGGAAGGAUCAUUAUCGUGGGGCUUCGGCCCUCUCGAGAUAGAACCCUUGCCUUUUUGAGUACCUUUCGUUUCCUCGGCGGGCUCGCCCGCCAACGGGGACCACAAUAAACCCUUUGUAAUACCUGUAAUCGUCUGACAAAACAAACAAAAAUUAAAACUUUCAACAACGGAUCUCUUGGUUCUG